UACGUAGGGGGCUAGCGUUGUCCGGAAUUACUGGGCGUAAAGGGUGCGUAGGCGGUUGUUUAAGUCUGUCGUGAAAUCCCCGGGCUCAACCUGGGAAUGGCGAUGGAUACUGGGCAGCUAGAGUGUGUCAGAGGAUGGUGGAAUUCCCGGUGUAGCGGUGAAAUGCGUAGAGAUCGGGAGGAACAUCAGUGGCGAAGGCGGCCAUCUGGGACAACACUGACGCUGAAGCACGAAAGCGUGGGGAGCAAACAGG
rnacentral:rRNA from 1 species